rnacentral:rRNA from 1 species
GACGAACGCUGGCGGCGUGCUUAACACAUGCAAGUCGAACGGACAGGCCCUGCUUUUGUUGGUUGCUCGAUUGGCGAACGGGUGUGUAACACGCGAGUAACCUCCCCUUGUCUUUGUGAUAUCUUCACGAAACUGCGGCUCUUACCCGAUAUGAUCUCUUGCUCCAUGGUGUUGGUUGGAAAGUUUCGGCGGUUCGAGCUGGUCUCGCGGCUUAUCAGCUUGUUUGUCGGGUAGUGGCUUACCAAGGCUUUGACGGGUAGCCAGCCUGGGAAGGGUAACGGGGACAAUGGGACUGAGGGAGGGACCAGACGCCAACGGGAGGCAGCAGUGGGGAAUAUUGCACAAUGGGCGGAAGCGUGAUACAGCAACGCCGCGUGCGGGAUGACGGGCUUCGGGGUGUAAACCGCUGUGGCCUGAGACGAAGAGUGAGUGACGGUAAUGGGUAAAGAAGCACCGGCUAACUACGUG